GUUUUCAGUUUCUGUCUCUUAAAAUGAAAUCAGGGGCUGGGGGCGGAGCUCGGUGGUAGAGUGCUCCCUUAGCAUGUGCAGGGCCCUGAGUUUGAUUCCCAGCAGAGAAAGAAGCAGGAAAAAAAAAAAAGGAAUAAAGAGCAAAUUGGAGGUGUACCUGAGAAGGGUCACAUCUCAGGAACAGUGGAACUGGCUUCUUUUCAUGCGUGUGUAAACUCCAGGGCACUGAGCAAGGUCUAACCAGGGAUCUAGAUUUGAACCUCCAUUCUACCACUGACUAGUUGUGUGACCUUGACCUUGGCCUUAACCUCUCCAGGCUUCAUCUCCCUUCUCUGGGAAACAGAGCCAGUUCCUAACUUACAGAAAUAAAAGAGAGCCCGGAUGGAUGUGAGGGUUCAGACAGUACAUGGCUCACAUCAAGCUUCAUUAGCCACUGUUCCUAAUAUUCAGGUCACGCAUCCACGUGGGUGUCUCUUUACAAAUAAGGAUGCUUUAGAGUAAAGCAGACCGAAACAGGGCUUCGUGUUCUCUGCUACUCUGAUUUCCUAGCUUCUUCCUGGAAAUGGACUCCAAGAACUUUUAGAAAUAGUUCAUAAACAAGGGAGAUUUUAAUCUGCAAAACCAGAUGGACUUUCUCUCUUUCUGAAGCAGCUGGAAGCAAACCUGCUCCCUCGGUAGCUCUACCUUCCUGACCAAUUUCCAACCGCAGUUCCUGUUCUGAACCCGGAUCUGCAAAUAAGAGCAUUCAUUGGAAGGGAGGUUCAGGGCCUUUGGGAUUUCAUCAGCUGCCAUCUCUCCCAGGAGACUCGGUGACACCCGUCAAGCCAGUGACCAAGGCCAGAAGGCAAGCGGUUCAAGGCCUACCGCCAGGCAACUUCCUUUUGAGUUUUGAAGCCAAGCAGUACACAUCUAAAGAAAUGCCAAGGAGGAAAUAUGGAUUUAUUGUUGCCAAGCCAAUUGGGCUGCAGAGAGAAGAAUAAUACUGAAAGGUCCGCCUUCUGGUUGUGCAAAGCGAAGAGGAGGACAGGGGCAGGGAGCAAGCUUGGGUUCCAUCUCAGUCUCCUACCCCAAGAGAUGUGACAGCCGCCUGGAGCCACCGACCCACAGUGAUGGUGCAAUCCAAACCCCUCCCCUGGAAUCCUGCAGUUGCAGCCACAGGUCACAGAAGGGAAGAGAUGGGAGCCUGGAGCACUUAAACUUCUUUCAAACAAGAUAAAACUUGUUUCCUUUGCUGCUUUUAAACUUGGAAAUAAAGAAUAGUUACCAGCAAUAGAGUGUGUGCUUCUUAAAAAGACAAAACCCAGCACAGAGCCAUUUGAAGCUCUGGUCCUUGCCAAGUGGAGGAGAGAGACAGAGUGACGUCUUCGCAGUUCUCAGAUCCAGGAACAGUGUGACAUGUCCCUACUAGAAUCUGCCUCUUCACGAAAGCCUGGGAAUGGAUAAAACGCGACUCCAAGCAAAAGCGCGGGACACGUGAGCCUUUAACAGUGAAUGUCAAAAUCAGGGCCCUGGGCUGGGCACUGAGGCAUACGCCUGUCCUCCCAGCUACUGAGAGGUUAAGGAGGAGCACUGCUCUAACCCAGGAGCCUGGGGAAAGUCUGGGCAACGCAGUGAGAGCUUGUCUCAAGACGACGCGGUGGCACACGCCUGUCAUCCCCACUCCACUCAGGAGGCUGAGGCAGGAGGAUCGCGGGUUCAAGGCCAGCCUCAGCAACAGCAAAGCACGAAGCCACUCAGUGAGACCGUGACUCUAAAUAAAACACAGAACAGGGCUGGGAUGGGGCUCAGUGGCCGAGGGCCCUGGGUUCAAUGUCUUGUACCAAAAGAAAAAAAUGAAAGAAAGAAAAAUGGGCUGGAAGGAAGCUGGGGAGAAUGCUUGCCUAGCAGGCGCUAAUCCCUAGCACCAAAAACCAACCAGACAAGUAAAUCAUGGCUUCCAGAAGACGGAAUUCCUGAACUCUCUUCCCAUUCUUCUCCUGAACCAGUUUAAAAAUCUCUUUCAUCCAUCAUCAGGGAGAUGCAGAAACGAGUCAGCCUGAAAGUCCUCCCAGUGUCACACGCAGUCACAGAUGGUGAGCCUGCUCCCACCAGCGCCCAGCGGCAAAGCCAUCGCGAGCUGCCUGGGAACUGGACAGGCACAGAUUGGAGGGAUGUCAGUGUGGAGCCCCGAGUCUCCACUGGGGGACCUCUGGGCUCCCUGGGAAGCUCGGCAGUGUCUGAAGAUGAUCUCAGUUAUCACAACUGGGGUGGGGAGCGUGCCGCUGGAAUGGGGUGGGUAGAGGCCCCAGGAUGUUGCUCAUUACCUUAUGUGACAGAGCUGGGGAUGUGGCUCGGUGGCAGAGCACUUGCCUGGCCUGCAGGAAACCCUGAGUUGAUCCCCAGCACUGAAAAAUAAAAGAGAGAGAGAGAGAGAGAAUUGUGCAGCCCCACAUGUCAGUGAUGCUGAGAUAGAGAAACUUUUAAAAGAAAGAAGAAACAGGGGGCUGGGGAUGUGGCUCAAGCGGAAGCGCGCUCGCCUGGCAUGCGUGUGGCCCGGGUUCGAUCCUCAGCACCACAUACAAACAAAGAUGUUGUGUCUGUCGAGAACUAACUAACUAAAUAAAUAAAUAAGUAUUUUUAAAAAAAAAGAAAGAAGAAACAGGAUUUGCCAGGAAAAAUAAGGAGGAAAGCACAUUCCAGGAAAAUAGGAGGACUGCAGGGUGGGACCGAGAAACUGGAAAGGUGACCCUGGCCUUGAGCUCGUUGUGUCUUCCCUUUGAACCUCAGUUUUCCUGAGCAGUGACCCUGUGACACUAAAUGACUCAUAUGUUUUCCUGGUAUUAGAAAAAAGUGCUACCGAUAAAAAGUUAUGUCUCUGGGCCCCACCCCCUUCCUGUUGCCCUGCUUGUCCCUCAGCACUGCUGGUAACCUACUCAUGAGAACAAUGUGGCAGGUAAAAGUGCUGGUCAGCCAGGCACGGAGGCCCUCGCCUGUCAUCUUAGUGGCUCAUGAGGCUGAGGCAGGAGGAUCGCAAGUUCAAAGCCAGCCUCAGCAAAAGUGAGGCCCUAAGCAUCUCAGUGAGACCCUGUCUCUAAAUAAAACACAAAAUAGGGCUGGGGAUGGGGCUCCGUGGUCAAGGGCCCCUGAGUUCAAUCCUGGUACCAAAAAAAAAAAUACUGGUAACAGGAACCCCAAUACUGUCCAGGCAAGUGGUGCACACCUAAAAUCCCAGCAACUGGCUCAGUAGUAGACCACCCCAGGGAGCUAACACACACACACACACACACACACACGCACACACCCCAGAUGCCAUGGUAUUUAAAUUUUUUACAUAACUUGAGGUCUGGGAAUGGGCAG